GGCAGGAGGGCAGGAGUUGCUCAGCAACAUGAUAAUAAUGAGAGGAAGACAAACAGUGCAAUGAUAUUUAAGUGGGCCAGAAGUCAUUUUGCAUUUCAUCCUGUAGCUCUUCAACUCUCCAGCUGUCUGUUCCUUCAGUUAUUAGCUGGUAAAAUCUUUUUUAAAAUGUUAAAUCGCGGUGUAACUGGAGCCGUUACUGAACCUGUCCAACCGCGGCUCUGGAGCAGACAGGUCCUGUCAGCUGAACCUGUCCACUGCACAGCAUAAAAUAUAAAGGGAAACAGUUUGCCAUUUACAGCGUUGUUAUUGUAACGAUGAAGACAGGCAAGAAAGAUGUGGGCACUCUUCAUGACCUUUCUGACGCUGUAGGAGUCCAUUCCCUGAGCAGUGCAAAUCCCACGGAUCCCACUCCAGACCUGCUUGCCUCUGCCCUAGCCUCAACUCCAGGUUCCCAGCUACCAGUCCAAACUUCCCCUGGCUUACAUCCCAUUUACCUUUCUUUACAAUAAAUGACCUUAUCAUA